rnacentral:tRNA from 1 species
GAGGGUAUAGCUCAGUGGUAGAGUGCAUGCUUAACAUGCACAAGGUCCUAGGUUCAAGCCCCAGUACCUCCA